GAUGAACGCUGGCGGCGUGCCUAAUACAUGCAAGUCGAGCGAACAGACGAGGAGCUUGCUCCUCUGACGUUAGCGGCGGACGGGUGAGUAACACGUGGAUAACCUACCUAUAAGACUGGGAUAACUUCGGGAAACCGGAGCUAAUACCGGAUAGCAUGUUGAACCGCAUGGUUCAACAGUGAAAGACGGUCUUGCUGUCACUUAUAGAUGGAUCCGCGCCGCAUUAGCUAGUUGGUAAGGUAACGGCUUACCAAGGCAACGAUGCGUAGCCGACCUGAGAGGGUGAUCGGCCACACUGGAACUGAGACACGGUCCAGACUCCUACGGGAGGCAGCAGUAGGGAAUCUUCCGCAAUGGGCGAAAUCCUGACGGAGCAACGCCGCGUGAGUGAAGAAGGUCUUCGGAUCGUAAAACUCUGUUAUUAGGGAAGAACAAAUGUGUAAGUAACUAUGCACGUCUUGACGGUACCUAAUCAGAAAGCCACGGCUAACUACGUG
rnacentral:rRNA from 1 species